rnacentral:rRNA from 1 species
CCUACGGGCGGCAGCAGUGGGGAAUAUUGCACAAUGGGGGAAACCCUGAUGCAGCGAAGCCGCGUGAGUGAAGAAGUAUCUCGGUACGUAAAGCCCUAUCAGCAGGGAAGAAAAUGACGGUACCUGACUAAGAAGCCGCGGAGAACUACGUGCCAGAAGCCGCAGUAAUGCGUAGGGGGCAAGCGUUAUCCGGAUUUACUGGGUGUAAAGGGAGCGUAGACGGCAGGACAAGUCUGGAGUGAAAUCCCGGGGCUUAACCCCGGAACUGCUUUUGAAACUGUGCGGCUGGAGUGCAGGAGGGGUAAGCGGAAUGCCUAGUGUAGCGGUGAAAUGCGUAGAUAUUAGGAGGAACACCGGUGGCGAAGGCGGCUUACUGGACUGUAACUGACGUUGAGGCUCGAAAGCGUGGGUAUCAAACAGGAUUAGAUACCCCUGUAGUC